AAAUAAAUACCUGAAAGGUAGACUUCUCUGUAUGGACGGGGAGAGGCAACGCCCUACAAGCAAUCUUCAAGUCAGCUGACAUGGUUUCUAGAUGAAUAAAGCGUUAUUUUAACCUUUCCUUUCUGGUCACCUAUUCUCACUCCCCUCAGUGAUCACACCCCAACAUUUUUGCAACAGCACAAUGAAUGGACUUGAGAGUGAUGUAUUUUCUUUUCAUCUCCAAAUAUGUACAGUUUCAUAAUGGGCCAUCUGUCAUUUUGCUACUCCAUGUAGACAACAAUGCCCUAAAGUUUUGUUGUCAUAGCAACCACACCAAAGUAUCCAAAGCAAACUCUGUAGUCUUUCCUACUCUCAGAUUCCACGCAACAUAGGGAGGGGGUGGGGGCUAAAAUUUCGGAAAAUUUAAGUUCCUAGCAUUUGUUGCCUGUUCACAAUUAAUGCUCAACCUAGUGCACCUCAAACCUCAAUGAACUAGAUUAUAACAUUUUUUUUUUUUUUUAAGGAGGAGCAAAACUGUCUUCUGUAAGCUGUGAUUUAUUUCAUUUCAGAAACUGAAAGUCGCCCAAGUAGGAGGAGGAAAGGAAACAAGUUGUAAGGAUAUUACAGGCCAUCGCAGAAAUGUGGUCAAGGAAUACAAGUAGGGGGGCUGUAGGAGUGAAGAGAAAGCCACUGAUUGCAGAAAAUACCUUAGGGGACUUCAUUAACAUCUUGUGAAUGUUCCUUCAAGUUUGAUUGAACAAGGGCGAUUUUCCUCCGCACAACUGAUAGAGUUCGAAUAUGCUGGAUCCGGUAUUAUUUUAGAUUAAUUUAAUCUUCAUGCUUUCAAUGUUCAGCCCCUGAUCUAUUUCCUCUGAUGGUCUGCUGUAACAAUCCAGACUUCUUAAUAAAGAUGUAUCCCCUGCAGUGAA